UGGAGAGCCGGUUGCUGGGCCUGGUGGAGAGCGGCGGGAGAUGCCUGUGAACGACCGCCGCCGCGAAGGCCGAGGGAAGGGCACCCGAGCCGAGCCGGGGAAUCUUACUGGCACCAGUCAGCCGGAGACGCUGGGGAGGUGGCGGUGAAUUGACUGAGGUGGUCUGGGGUGAUGCGGCUGUUUAGAAAGGCAGUCUCGGCUCGCCAGAGGAGCCUUUGCUCGCUUGCCCAGCCGCCGCUUCGAAGCGAUUCCUGCAGGCUGCUCCUGGGUCAUUUGAGCCUUGCCUGAAGGGGGGCCUUUGACUCUGCCCAGGAGGGAGAGGCGGCCGCUGCCAGGCUGGAGCUGGGCCUUCCUUGGGGCCGAGGGCGAGGGGUUUCUGUGUGACGGGGCUCACUGGAGAUGAGCUCUCCUUGCUGUGCCUGCAGGAUCUGCCUCUACACCCACUGACGCAUGCCCAUUGCCGCCCUCUCUCCUGGAUUUUGCAGACACUGAUGCCAUUGCGGUCAGGAUAUUUCUUCUGGGAUGAGAAGCCCUUGGAUUUACCCAAGGAAUUGUGGAUGAUGGUGGACCAUCUGUACCAUAAUGCUUGCCAAAAGAAGGACCUGUUCCAGCAACCUGGUCUUCGAGCUGAGUUUCCAGAGAUCCGUGACUGCCUGGACACAGGAAUGUUGGACACACUUGACCUAAGGCUAUCAUUGCCUUGUGUUGGGGACUUCAGAUGUAGGUGCUGUAUGACUGCAGUGUGGAGAGUGCCGGCAGCUACAGCCUGAGUAGUCAGGUAAGAGAACCCAGGGAGGAGCAGGAAUGUGCAUCCUGGGCAUCUCCAGGUCAGCAGUGUCUCUCCUCCUCUUUUCCAGAUAGGUUCCAUGCUCCCCGAGUGCCACAAAAGUGUCUUCAAUUGUCUGAUGGUAUUUCUAUGGGAACUGCUACGACAUUCUGAGAAAAACCACCUGGAUGGGCAUAUCCUUGUGAUUUAGAUGGUGAUGGAAAAGGAACUCAUCAACUUUGCAGAUAACACCAAGCUGGCAGGAUAGGCUCAAGAUCAAGACGACUCUCAACAGAAUUGAACUUAUCAAACAAAAUGAAGUUCAAAGGUGAGAAAAGAAAGGUUUUACACCUAGGCAGGAAGAACCAAAUGCAUAGAAUAGGUGGUACCUGGCUCAAUACCUGGUGGUACCUAGUAUUAAUGAGUCACCACUUAAAUAUGAGCCAGCAAUGUACUGCAGGAGCCAACAGAGAGAUUGUCAGGGUUCCAAGUAACACCCCCAACGCAAGGCUCAUAGUUCCUCAAAGGUCCAUUUUAUUAGAAAUGUCAUAUUGGCACAUCUGGGAAAACCCAAAUCUGAAAGCUUCCCAACUCCCUUUCCCUGCACCCACAUCCAUCACAUGGUCCAAUCAAUAAACUGUCCCAACUGGAGAUACCUCCCACACUACUCCAGGUGCAGGCCAAAUGUCCCUGGCCCUCAGAGAAAGGAAUGUUAUUAUGACUAUGCAAUCCCCCCUCCCAGUUUCCCACAGCACUAAGUGUGGCAGCCUGGAAGAUCCAAAAAAAAAGAUGGCCUCCAGGGCUGACAAGAUUACACGAAAUGCUAGUAGUACUUAAUACUGCACUGGUAAGACAACUUAAAAUACUGCAUCCAUUUCUGAUCACUAUGAUGCAAAAAAAUAAAAAUAAAUGCUGACACCCUAGAAAGACUGCAGAGAAGAGCAAUAAAGGUGAUAAAGGAUCUGGAAGUUAAACAUAUGAUGAACUAUUCAGGAAUAUUUAGCCUAAGAAAGAGAAGGAUUAGAGUAAGGUGACCAGAUUUUCAGAUUGGUAAAGAGGGACACU